AUUGUUUCAUUUCUGCGCUGGAAAAACACUGAUUGCCUCCUAGUUUAUUGUGAACGCUCAUAUCUCUAAUGUGGAUCUCAGUGCUGAGCUGUGCUCUGAUAAAAACUACAUUUAACCUCAGAAUAUGGUCAGAGAUAAUGCUUUUUAAACAUGCACGGAGUGGCACGGCAGCUGAAUUUUGGCACGUACAUGAUUUUUAUUACGAUGUUAUAGUUUAAACUCAACCAAACUACAGUUUAAAUCCCUAUUACAUGAAUUGUUGCAUUACUGAAGAGCAGCACACUGAUUAGGGCUCUAUAACCAAGGGGUCUUUUCAGGGGAAAGUCAUAAAUUAAGCUCUUCUUCAAAGGCUUUGGCCUACCUGACUUAUUUCCCACUGUAUGUUGACUCAGACCACGUGUAGUCAAGAUGUCAGGUUGUUAAAAUAAAAAGCUUAACCAAGGUUCCUACAUUUCUUUCCACUGUUUUAGCUCCAGAUCUCUCCACAUUUGAUCUCACCUCAAACUGAGCAUCAAUCAAGUUUCUUUUAUGAGAUAUCUGGAAAGAAGAUGGGAGAUUCUUGGAAGCUGACGGGCUUGUGGUCUUUAUCAGGUUGCGUAACUAAAAACACGAUUAUUUUUUCACUCAGCGCUGUUGCCGCCCUGUUGAAGGAUGAAGUACGUAGGAAAGAAACUGCAGGUUAGAUGAUGAGGUCAGUGUGAAAGACACAAUUUUCCACGUUGUCUCACAACGCUCACCUUUAACUGUCAAAACAAGGUGGGACGGUUCAACUUCAGUGUCAGUGAGUGGUCAGAAAACUCCAUCUAAACAAACCUGACAUGUAUGGAAAUGAAGUUUGGUAAAUUAACUUGCAGCCCCUUGAUUGUAAAUCAUCACAAAGAGUUUCAUGUGAUCAGUUUGAUGAAAUUACUUAAUUUCUGCUGGUUAUUUCAUCACUAAACAGUCUUUCAACUGACUCUUCCUGCUACAUCAUGUGUUAGAGGUCGAUCGGGUAUUUCAGUGGCCGAUACCGAUAUUUAUAGAGAAGGGCGGCCGAAAUACAAUGCCGAUAUCAAAAUAAAGAAAUGUCAGUUCCAUUAUUCCAGGCAGAGGACAAUCUAAUACACGUUAUCUCAGCCAGUAAUGUGAUGUUUUAGAUGAAGUUUUAUUAAUUAAUGGGUUAUGCUUUAGAUUGAAGUGACUUGUGUUUAAGGGAGAGCGGCGUACAGUUUGUCAGAAGUGACUUCAUUCAGCUGCAUUGUUUUUUACAGUUUCCAACUUUUCUGCAAAUUUGUCCUAUCAUCGCCGUUUCCCGCAUACGUCAGAAGACUCACUUCCUUGUUCAGAAGAUGCAGCUGACGUGUAAUAGCAACAUCUCACAUUUGCAGAGAAAAAGCUCAAAUAAAAAGGACUGUGAAAAACCAGGACCCAGAUCUUUCUUACCAAAGCGAUGGUAAAAUGUUUUGCAAAACGUACAGUAUUGUGGUCGAACAUAAGAAAGGAAAUCAUCUACUAACAAACGCAUGGACGACGUCAGACGAGACAAAUCACUGUGACACCGGCUGUUGCGCUGAAAGAAUCAAGGAAUCAUGGGUUCAGUGAAAAGCGGGCAAUCGAAGAGGCUGCCACUCCCGAGAGAGAGAGAGAGAGAGAGAGACCCCC